UUUGGGUCUUUUGACGUGAAAUUUUUUUGGUGAAAGCCAUGACAUGUGGCUAUGAUGCUCAGUUGUUGUUUUGUCCCUAGCAUGUUCCAGAAAAAUAAGAUUAAUAAUAAACUGUUUUUUACAGUUAAUAAUUAACUGUUGCCCAUGACUCUUUCAGUGUAAUAUUGGCAGUCUCUGUGUCAGAAAGCCUGUUUUACUUCUCUUUUACUUGUUAUUUCUUGUUGGCCUUUUUCUUUAUUUUCUUUCUUCCCUGAACUUUUUGCUCUCGAUUCUCUAUUUUGAGCGUGUCAGCCCUUUUUUAUCUAAACAAACAAGAUACCUAACGCACUUAAUCCCAGCUGCCUGUCUAGGUUCCUAACUCUAAUUAUACAACCAUUAUUAUAAUAUUAUUUUUUAUUCAAAUUUGAUAAAAUCUAAUUAUUAUUGUACAGAAUCUUAAUUACCAUUUUCCUAUAAUCAAACUCUUACAAUUUACACAUUUCGUGAACUAAAUUUCUCAUCUUCCUCACGUCCAUUUGUUCCGAUUCCGACAUCGAGGUGGCUCACAGUGUAUUCAGAAGUCCUCUCUCACACUGAGCCAAUCGUGCGGUUAAGGAGUUCCCAUCGCUGCCCUAAGGCACAUAAUCCUGCCAACAAUGCCAGCUUCUUGUAAUAGCAUGGGCAAGACUAAAAAUGUUCUCAAUUUAUUGUGUGCCACUUCACAGCAGGACCAGUCAAGAUACUAUUUAUACCAGUUUUGGGAGGUGAUCAGUGAUGAGCACAGAAUCGACCCAACCGGCACCUACCACAGUGACAGCGACCUGCAGCUGGAGCGGAUUAACGUGUUUUACAACGAAGCCACUGAAAGUGUGAAAUGGUCGCUAAACCCAUGUUAGAGCUUGUGCUGAUCCUCGCCCUGCUCCGUCAUGUGCAGCCGAUGUGGGUUAGACUCCAACGCAGCCAGAGGAACCCCAGACCUAGCGGUGAUAUGGAGCAAUAUCCGGUAUCCCUCGGAACCAUCAUUCAAGGAGCACUCUCAGAUUUCUAAUGCCACCAGUGCAGAAAGGUCAGCUAUUCACUAUGCAGAAUGUGAUUGCUGCAGUCCAAAAUGGAGAGAGAGAUUUUGAAAUGGACUCAGAUGACACUGAUGCAAGUGACUCAGAGAAUGAAGAUGCAGGUCCAAUGGACAAAGAAAACCACCAACCCAUUGACUGCCCAGCCAAUGAGGAUGUGGACAUCAAGCCCAACCAAAGGAAUACACCUUUCCCCAUGACAGAUAUCGCUGGCUGAAAAGGAGUUUUCUAAAUAUAUUUUUUUCAAUAUUUACAUUAAUCAAUGCAAAAAAUGUUGUGUGGUUAUUACUCAUGAUAUAUACUGUUGGGGCAAAGUAAGCAAUCAACCCUGCAAAUAAAUGCUUAAAUGCUCUGUAUAUCUGUUCAGACAAAGUGAGUACAAAUACAGAAAUUCUGCUCCUAGCAGAGCCCAACGUUGCAAUAUUACAACAUUUCCGUAAAAACUUACUACAAUGUAAAACAUUUGAAAAACCUUUAAUUUCUACACCAGAGGCCUCCUAAAACAAUGUAUGAGAGGUCAAAUAAUUUUUUGCUUAUUUUUUUCAAUAUUUGGGUUUUACAGGGUUGAAGACACAAGCACAUAUUCUGCGGCUCUGUAUAGAAAAUGUUAACCUUAAAAAAAUAAAUAAAUGAAGUGAUAUAACCCACUACAUUCUAGAAUGAUAUUCUAGUGGGUUACAUGCUCCCCCUGCUAAACAUCUCAUGACAUGAGAUUACUUAUCUACACUUUAAUGGU